rnacentral:rRNA from 1 species
UACGUAGGGUGCGAGCGUUGUCCGGAAUCACUGGGCGUAAAGCGCACGUAGGCGGCUUCUUAAGUCAGGGGUGAAAUCCUGGAGCUCAACUCCAGAACUGCCUUUGAUACUGAGGAGCUCGAGUCCGGAAGAGGUGAGUGGAACUGCGAGUGUAGAGGUGAAAUUCGUAGAUAUUCGCAAGAACACCAGUGGCGAAGGCGGCUCACUGGUCCGGUACUGACGCUGAGGUGCGAAAGCGUGGGGAGCAAACAGG